rnacentral:rRNA from 1 species
CCGGGGUGAUGCUGCCCGUGGAAUACGCAUGUCUCAGAGCUUAAGUGAUCUGUGUGCAAGUAUGCAUGGGCAGUACAGUGAAACCGUGAAUGGCUCCUUAAAUCAGUUACAGUUCCUUUGGUUGCUCCUCUCACACUCUGGAUAACUGGUAACUCUAGCACUGCUACAUGUUGAUGAGUGCCAGCCUCCAGGGACAUGUGCAUUUAUCAGACCAAAACUGACCCAGGCCCGCCUGGCAGUUUUGGUGACUCUAGAUGACCUUGAGCCGAUUGCCCGUCCCCGCGGCGGCAGUGACCCAUUCAGAUGUCUGCCCUAUCAACUUUCAGUGGCACUGACUGUGCCUACCAUGGUGACCACAGGGGAAUCAGUGUUCGAUUCCAGAGAGGGAACCUGAGAAACGGCUACAAUGUCCAAGGAAGGCAGCAGAUGCACAAAUUACCCCCUCCCAACACAGGGAGGUAGUGACAAAAAACAAUACAGGACUCUUUUGAGGCCCUGUAACUGGAAUGAGCGAGGAUCCAUUGGAGGGCAAGUCUGGUGCCAUCAGCCGCGGUAAUUCCAGCUCCAAUAGCAUAUCUUAAAGUUGCUGCAGUUAAAAAGCUUGUAGUUGGAUCUUGGGAUCGAGCUGGCAGUCUGCCGCAAGGCGAGCCACCGCCUGUCCCAGCCCCUGCCUCUUGAAACCCCCUCAAUGCUCUUAGUUGAGUGUCCCUGGGGCCUGAAGUGUUUUACUUUGAGAAAAUUAGAGUGUUCAAAGCAGGCCGGCCACCGACAUGCUGCAGCUAGGAAUAAUGGAAUAGGACUCAUUUUGCUGGAUUUUGAAAACAGGACCAUGAUUAAGAGGAACAGCCACUAGAGAUGAAAUUCUUGGACUAGUGGAAGGUGCCCUAGAAUGAAAGCAUUUACCAAGAAUGUUUUCAUUAAUCAAGAACAAAAGUUGGAGGUUCAAAGACAAUCAGAUACUGUCGUAGUUCUGACCAUAAACAAAGCUGACUGGUGAUCUGGCAGCAUUAUUCCCAUGACCCACUGGGCAGCUCCCAGGAAACUCAAGUCUUUGGGUUCCGGGGGAGUACAGUGCAGAGCUGAAACUUGAAUUGACAGAGGGGCACCACCAGGAGUGGAGCCUGUGGCUUAAUUUGAUUCAACAUGGGAAGCCUCACCUGGCCCGGACACAGACAGGACUGAGAGAUUGAAAGCUCUUCCUCAAUUCCAUGGGUGGUGGUACAUAGCUGUUCUUAGUUUGUGGAGCGAUUUGUCUGGUUAAUUCCCAUAACAAACGAGAUUCUGUUGUGCUAACUAGUUACGCAGUGCCCAGGCAAUGGGCAUCCAACUUCUUACAGGAACAAGUGGCGUUCAGUCACCCAAGACUGAGCAAUAACAGGUCUGUGAUGCCCUUAACUGUCCAGGACCGCAUGUGUGCUGCGCUGGUUAGCUCAGCUUGUGCCUACCCCCUGCCAGCAGGCGUGGGUAACCCGUUGAACCCCAUUCAUGGUGGGGAUUGGGGAUUGCAGUUCUUGCCCAUGAAUGAGGAAUUCCCAGGAAAUGCGGCUCAUGUUGAUGUAGUCCCUGCCCUUUGUACAGACAACCCGUCAUUACUACUGACUGAGUGGUUUAGCGAGGUCCUCAGAUGGGCUCCAGUCCUGCUGGUGUGUGAGCGGACAGUGAAACUUGGCUAUCCUAGAAGAAGUUUUCAUAGGUGAACCUGCAGGAG